rnacentral:rRNA from 2 species
GGACUACUGGGGUAUCUAAUCCUGUUUGCUCCCCACGCUUUCGCGCCUCAGCGUCAGUAUCGAGCCAGUUGGCCGCCUUCGCCACUGGUGUUCUUGCGAAUAUCUACGAAUUUCACCUCUACACUCGCAGUUCCACCAACCUCUCUCGAACUCGAGGCUCUCAGUAUCGAAGGACGUUCUGUGGUUGAGCCACAGGAUUUCACCCUCGACUUAAGAGACCGCCUACGCGCCCUUUACGCCCAGUGAUUCCGAACAACGCUAGCCCCCUUCGUAUUACCGCGGCUGCUGGCAC